AUUGAACGCUGGCGGUAUGCUUAACACAUGCAAGUCGAACGGCAGCAUGGUCUAGCUUGGUAGACUGAUGACGAGUGGCGGACGGGUGAGUAACGCGUAGGAAUAUGCCUUGAAGAGUGGGACAACUUGGGGAAACUCAAGCUAAUACCGCAUGUACUCGAGAGAGUAAAGCUGGGGACCUUUAGGCCUAGCGCUUUAAGAUUAGCCUGCGUCCGAUUAGCUAGUUGGUAGGGUAAAGGCCUACCAAGGCGACGAUCGGUAGCUGGUCUGAGAGGAUGAUCAGACACACUGGAACUGAGAGACGGUCCAGACUCCUACGGGAGGCAGCAGUGGGGAAUAUUGGACAAGGGGGGGAACCCCGAUCCAGCAAUGCCGCGUGUGUGAAGAAGGCCUGAGGGUUGUAAAGCACUUUCAGUGGGGAGGAAGUUUGGAAGGUUAAGAGCUAUUCAAAUGGACGUUACCCACAGAAGAAGCACCGGCUAACUCCGUGCCAGCCGCCGCGGUAA
rnacentral:rRNA from 1 species